GACAGAGGGUGCAAACGUUGUUCGGAAUUACUGGGCGUAAAGCGCGUGUAGGCGGCCCUGCAAGUCGGAUGUGAAAUCCCACGGCUCAACCGUGGAAGUGCAUUCGAAACUGCAGGGCUAGAGUCCUGGAGAGGAAGGUGGAAUGCUUGGUGUAGAGGUGAAAUUCGUAGAUAUCAAGCGGAACACCGGUGGCGAAGGCGGCCUUACUGGACAGUGACUGACGCUGAGACGCGAAAGCGUGGG
rnacentral:rRNA from 1 species